rnacentral:rRNA from 1 species
GAUGAACGCUGGCGGCGUGCCUAAUACAUGCAAGUCGAGCGAACAGACGAGGAGCUUGCUCCUCUGACGUUAGCGGCGGACGGGUGAGUAACACGUGGAUAACCUACCUAUAAGACUGGGAUAACUUCGGGAAACCGGAGCUAAUACCGGAUAAUAUAUUGAACCGCAUGGUUCAAUAGUGAAAGACGGUUUUGCUGUCACUUAUAGAUGGAUCCGCGCCGCAUUAGCUAGUUGGUAAGGUAACGGCUUACCAAGGCAACGAUGCGUAGCCGACCUGAGAGGGUGAUCGGCCACACUGGAACUGAGACACGGUCCAGACUCCUACGGGAGGCAGCAGUAGGGAAUCUUCCGCAAUGGGCGAAAGCCUGACGGAGCAACGCCGCGUGAGUGAUGAAGGUCUUCGGAUCGUAAAACUCUGUUAUUAGGGAAGAACAAAUGCGUAAGUAACUAUGCACGUCUUGACGGUACCUAAUCAGAAAGCCACGGCGAACUACGU